AGAGGACACACAGGGUGGACAGUGUGGGGAAAUAUGUUGUGUGUUCAUCUUUUUUUUUUGUCUUUCCAUGUCAACGGAUAAUCCCCUUUGUGGUUUAUGGAAAGUUGGCACAGCAGAAAAUGUGAAAACUCCCACAAAAUGCAACUCAUAUAUCAACUUUAUAGAUGGUGUCAGUGGCUCGCUUAUCUUGCUCAAUGAUAACACUAGAGCAGGGGUCAGGACAAACACGUAUACAGAAAAUUGUAAUACUUACAACUUACCUAAUGUUAAAACGUCUUUAUGUUCUUGGUAUCUGUCUUUUGGUCAAGAGC